AGAGUGACUCCACCAGCCAAUGCACUGCAAGAGGCAAUUCUUAAUGUAAAGCAAUUUUAGAUGUGGCUGUGAGAAUAAAAAAAUGUUUCAUUGGUAAGGCCAGCAUUCGUUACCAUCCCUAAUUGGUCCUGUACAGAGUGGCUAGCUAGUACACUGCAAAAGGAGUUAACAGCAUUGCUCUGGGGAUGGAGUCACAUCUACACUACAGCAGUCCAACAAGAUUAUUGCACAACUGGGCCAAGAGGGCUGAAGACAUGAGGCUCCUCAUCGAUAUUGAGGGAGGUGAUG